CACCACGUAGCUCAACCGGAUGAGCACGACCAUCCGAAGGUCGAGGAUGUAGGUUCGAGUCCUAUCGUGGUGGCCA
rnacentral:tRNA from 1 species